AACGAACGCUGGCGGCAUGCCUAACACAUGCAAGUCGAACAAGACCUUCGGGUCUAGUGGCGCACGGGUGCGUAACGCGUGGGAAUCUACCCUUGGGUUCGGAAUAACAGUUAGAAAUGACUGCUAAUACCGGAUGAUGACGUAAGUCCAAAGAUUUAUCGCCCAAGGAUGAGCCCGCGUAAGAUUAGCUUGUUGGUGGGGUAAUGGCCUACCAAGGCGACGAUCUUUAGCUGGUCUGAGAGGAUGAUCAGCCACACUGGGACUGAGACACGGCCCAGACUCCUACGGGAGGCAGCAGUGGGGGAUAUUGGACAAUGGGCGAAAGCCUGAUCCAGCAAUGCCGCGUGAGUGAUGAAGGCCUUAGGGUUGUAAAGCUCUUUUACCAGGGAUGAUAAUGACAGUACCUGGAGAAUAAGCUCCGGCUAACUCCGUGCCAGCCGCCGCAGUAA
rnacentral:rRNA from 1 species